AUGCUCACUUCGGCAGCACAGAUACUAAAAUCGGAAUGGUACAGAGUUAGCGCGGCCCCUGUGCAAGGUUGACACAAAAAUUUGUGAAGCCUUCCCCCCAAAA